AAGACCUUGCGCUUUUGGAGCGGCCGAUGCCUGAUUAGCUUGUUGGUAAGGUAAAAGCUUACCAAGGCUUCGAUCAGUAGCUGGUCUGAGAGGACGACCAGCCACACUGGGACUGAGACACGGCCCAGACUCCUACGGGAGGCGGCAGUGGGGAAUUUUGGACAAUGGGGGCAACCCUGAUCCAGCCAUGCCGCGUGAGUGAAGAAGGCCUUCGGGUUGUAAAGCUCUUUCAGCCGGAACGAAACGGUUACGGUUAAUACCCGUGACUACUGACGGUACCGGAAGAAGAAGCACCGGCUAACUACGUGCCAGCAGCCGCGGUAAUACGUAGGGUGCGAGCGUUAAUCGGAAUUACUGGGCGUAAAGCGUGCGCAGGUGGUUUUGUAAGUCAGAUGUGAAAGCCCCGGGCUCAACCUGGGAACU
rnacentral:rRNA from 1 species